GAUUAAGUUAUUAAGGGCGCACGGUGGAUGCCUUGGCACUAGAAGCCGAUGAAGGACGUUACUAACGACGAUAUGCUUUGGGGAGCUGUAAGUAAGCUUUGAUCCAGAGAUUUCCGAAUGGGGAAACCCAGCAUGAGUUAUGUCAUGUUAUCGAUAUGUGAAUACAUAGCAUAUCAGAAGGCACACCCGGAGAACUGAAACAUCUUAGUACCCGGAGGAAGAGAAAGAAAAUUCGAUUCCCUUAGUAGCGGCGAGCGAAACGGGAAGAGCCCAAACCAACAAGCUUGCUUGUUGGGGUUGUAGGACACUCUAUACGGAGUUACAAAGGACGACAUUAGACGAAUCAUCUGGAAAGAUGAAUCAAAGAAGGUAAUAAUCCUGUAGUCGAAAAUGUUGUCUCUCUUGAGUGGAUCCUGAGUACGACGGAGCACGUGAAAUUCCGUCGGAAUCUGGGAGGACCAUCUCCUAAGGCUAAAUACUCUCUAGUGACCGAUAGUGAACCAGUACCGUGAGGGAAAGGUGAAAAGCACCCCGGAAGGGGAGUGAAAUAGAACCUGAAACCGUGUGCUUACAAGUAGUCAGAGCCCGUUAAUGGGUGAUGGCGUGCCUUUUGUAGAAUGAACCGGCGAGUUACGAUUUGAUGCAAGGUUAAGCAGUAAAUGUGGAGCCGUAGCGAAAGCGAGUCUGAAUAGGGCGUUUAGUAUUUGGUCGUAGACCCGAAACCAGGUGAUCUACCCUUGGUCAGGUUGAAGUUCAGGUAACACUGAAUGGAGGACCGAACCGACUUACGUUGAAAAGUGAGCGGAUGAACUGAGGGUAGCGGAGAAAUUCCAAUCGAACCUGGAGAUAGCUGGUUCUCUCCGAAAUAGCUUUAGGGCUAGCCUCAAGUGAUGAUUAUUGGAGGUAGAGCACUGUUUGGACGAGGGGCCCCUCUCGGGUUACCGAAUUCAGACAAACUCCGAAUGCCAAUUAAUUUAACUUGGGAGUCAGAACAUGGGUGAUAAGGUCCAUGUUCGAAAGGGAAACAGCCCAGACCACCAGCUAAGGUCCCAAAAUAUAUGUUAAGUGGAAAAGGAUGUGGCGUUGCCCAGACAACUAGGAUGUUGGCUUAGAAGCAGCCAUCAUUUAAAGAGUGCGUAAUAGCUCACUAGUCGAGUGACACUGCGCCGAAAAUGUACCGGGGCUAAACAUAUUACCGAAGCUGUGGAUUGUCCUUUGGACAAUGGUAGGAGAGCGUUCUAAGGGCGUUGAAGCAUGAUCGUAAGGACAUGUGGAGCGCUUAGAAGUGAGGAUGCCGGUGUGAGUAGCGAAAGACGGGUGAGAAUCCCGUCCACCGAUUGACUAAGGUUUCCAGAGGAAGGCUCGUCCGCUCUGGGUUAGUCGGGUCCUAAGCUGAGGCCGACAGGCGUAGGCGAUGGAUAACAGGUUGAUAUUCCUGUACCACCUAUAAUCGUUUUAAUCGAUGGGGGGACGCAGUAGGAUAGGCGAAGCGUGCGAUUGGAUUGCACGUCUAAGCAGUAAGGCUGAGUAUUAGGCAAAUCCGGUACUCGUUAAGGCUGAGCUGUGAUGGGGAGAAGACAUUGUGUCUUCGAGUCGUUGAUUUCACACUGCCGAGAAAAGCCUCUAGAUAGAAAAUAGGUGCCCGUACCGCAAACCGACACAGGUAGUCAAGAUGAGAAUUCUAAGGUGAGCGAGCGAACUCUCGUUAAGGAACUCGGCAAAAUGACCCCGUAACUUCGGGAGAAGGGGUGCUCUUUAGGGUUAACGCCCAGAAGAGCCGCAGUGAAUAGGCCCAAGCGACUGUUUAUCAAAAACACAGGUCUCUGCUAAACCGUAAGGUGAUGUAUAGGGGCUGACGCCUGCCCGGUGCUGGAAGGUUAAGAGGAGUGGUUAGCUUCUGCGAAGCUACGAAUCGAAGCCCCAGUAAACGGCGGCCGUAACUAUAACGGUCCUAAGGUAGCGAAAUUCCUUGUCGGGUAAGUUCCGACCCGCACGAAAGGCGUAACGAUUUGGGCACUGUCUCAACGAGAGACUCGGUGAAAUCAUAGUACCUGUGAAGAUGCAGGUUACCCGCGACAGGACGGAAAGACCCCGUGGAGCUUUACUGUAGCCUGAUAUUGAAAUUCGGCACAGCUUGUACAGGAUAGGUAGGAGCCUUUGAAACGUGAGCGCUAGCUUACGUGGAGGCGCUGGUGGGAUACUACCCUAGCUGUGUUGGCUUUCUAACCCGCACCACUUAUCGUGGUGGGAGACAGUGUCAGGCGGGCAGUUUGACUGGGGCGGUCGCCUCCUAAAAGGUAACGGAGGCGCUCAAAGGUUCCCUCAGAAUGGUUGGAAAUCAUUCAUAGAGUGUAAAGGCAUAAGGGAGCUUGACUGCGAGACCUACAAGUCGAGCAGGGUCGAAAGACGGACUUAGUGAUCCGGUGGUUCCGCAUGGAAGGGCCAUCGCUCAACGGAUAAAAGCUACCCCGGGGAUAACAGGCUUAUCUCCCCCAAGAGUUCACAUCGACGGGGAGGUUUGGCACCUCGAUGUCGGCUCAUCGCAUCCUGGGGCUGUAGUCGGUCCCAAGGGUUGGGCUGUUCGCCCAUUAAAGCGGUACGCGAGCUGGGUUCAGAACGUCGUGAGACAGUUCGGUCCCUAUCCGUCGUGGGCGUAGGAAAUUUGAGAGGAGCUGUCCUUAGUACGAGAGGACCGGGAUGGACAUACCUCUGGUGUACCAGUUGUCGUGCCAACGGCAUAGCUGGGUAGCUAUGUGUGGACGGGAUAAGUGCUGAAAGCAUCUAAGCAUGAAGCCCCCCUCAAGAUGAGAUUUCCCAACUUCGGUUAUAAGAUCCCUCAAAGAUGAUGAGGUUAAUAGGUUCGAGGUGGAAGCAUGGUGACAUGUGGAGCUGACGAAUACUAAUCGAUCGAAGACUUAAUCAA
rnacentral:rRNA from 1 species